rnacentral:miRNA from 1 species
CGGUGGAGAGCUCAAAGUCA